AGGACUGGAGGGUUCCGACAUCUUCCCAGGAAGCCACAGAGCUGAACUGAAGGAGUACAGUUGUGCAUCCGGAAUGUAGGGUUGGGAUGUAACACAUUCUCCUCGAGGCUGGACAUUUGGGUGCCUGUUAGAGAUACAUAUGUUUUCUCCUGGCACCUUUGAAGCAAUGCAAGCAGAAAGCAGAAGGGUUGAGAGAUGUGGGCAAGAAAAAAUCUUCUUUGGAGAAAGCCUGGAUCAUGGAGCUGAAGGACGGGGAGUCUAGUGAGGACACGGUGUCUGUGCCCACCCCCUGCCUAGUAAGGAGGAGUUCUUGGCUACAAGGAAGAGAUCUUGAAAGCAGUGAGCUCCGUGGAGUGGGUCUGAAUCUUGCCAGAAGGCCUGUGAGGCUUGAAGGUGUUUCCCUGCUGGAUGACAGAGAUGGGGAGGCUUCUGCGCCAGGAACAGCCCCCACAAGGCGUCCUGACAAAGGAGAUGCAUAAAGACGAGGCUCUGCUAUUUUAAAGCUGAUGUGAAAAAUGAAUCGCCAAUAUAAUGGAAUUUUGGAAUGUGUGAGCUCCCAGCUCACCCUCUGCAAGUACUCCGGCUUGUCCUUACCUCCCCAAACUUCUAUCCGAGGGAGCCGAGUCCUGGGAGAAAUCUCCGAGGAGCAGCCAGGCAGCCCUGUGGAUGUUGUGAGAGCUUUCUUUGGCAUCUGGUUUCUAAAAUAGAUGAGGAUCAAAGACAACAUUUAGGGAUCAUCUGCUCAGCCGUGGAAAGAGAAAACGACCCUGAUGUCCUCCCAGAGAAGCAGCCUCGUCUGUGGGGCAGGGUCUGGGCUGUGUAAGAAAUUUAUUCAAAAUCCCUCUUGUUUCCUUCAAUAAAUCCUCGG